AUUGGGUUUUUUUGGCUGCCUUCAAGCCAAACAGACCUUUAUCGGGAUAAAAGAAGGAUAAAAGAGGAACCUCUGAGCUACGAUUAGGGCAAGACAAAUUGGGGACAGAGAAAUCGAACAUCAAACUUCAGAAUGUGUAACAACCAACCAGUAUUAGACAGUGUGAACGGAUUCGUUGCUUGAAAGAACGGAAACUUUUUAAAGGGACCACAAAAGCGACCAGGAAACUUAGAGAAUUGAACAAUGUCCUUGAUGAUAAGGAUCAUUUUCAUAUUCUGUGGUGGAAGGAGAGGAUGCAGUUGUGCAGAAAGCCUUCUUCUAUGCAACUAAUUAAAAGGCUCAUGUACACUAAUUUACUAGGGUUGGAUGUUAACUUGAAAAAUGGAAGGUGAGCUCGUAAUCAUGUUAAGGUUAGCAGUGAACUCUGUUUUGAUUUCCUUCGAAAGAGGUGUUUUCUGUGUUU